rnacentral:lncRNA from 1 species
GUUUAAGGAAGAUGUAGUGGAUGGAAAUUUGGAGUUAAUAACAGUGGAAAUUGACUUCAACAUCAAAGUGGUAUGUAAUAUUUAAUCGAAAACUUCUUUAUUUACAUGGUUUCUAAGAUGAAUGAAGGUUUAGUUAGAAGAAACUGUGGUUUCUUUUAACAUGUUUGUGAUAUAAGGCGAGUCUUGGUGAUUUAAAUUCCCUUUUUAAAUGUUUGGGACUGGAUACAUGCUGCUAUCGAUUAGUGAAGUAAACCGAAAUCACAAUUUAGUUUUACAGGUUGCUUAUUUGCGUCUUAUGUUGCUUCUACUUCUGCAGUUGGAAUGAAGGUUGUCAAGAUCCAUUCUCAUAACAAGCUCAGUCGUUGACCAAGAAAAAAUUAAGGAUUAACCAUUUUGUUGAGACCACUUCCCUCCGGUUUAGACUUAGUGUUUUUAAUAACAGAAAAAAAAAAUUAUUGUUUGUGUAAAUCUUUGAAAAGUUAAGUAAUAUAAAGU